rnacentral:misc_RNA from 1 species
UCCCAGCCCCGAUAGUAACGGUUACCCCGCAACAUGCAUUGGAUUUGAAAGGGUUUAGAUGUUGGAGGGAUUGGCGUGAGGAGUAUGAGUGGAUAGCGGGAAAAAGC